rnacentral:rRNA from 1 species
AUUGAACGCUGGCGGCAGGCCUAACACAUGCAAGUCGAGCGAGCGGCGGACGGGUGAGUAAUGUCUGGGAAACUGCCUGAUGGAGGGGGAUAACUACUGGAAACGGUAGCUAAUACCGCAUACCAUCAGAUGUGCCCCGAUUGGAUAAGCUAGUAGGUGGGGUAACGGCUCACCUAGGAGACGAUCCCUAGCUGGUCUGAGAGGAUGACCAGCCACACUGGAACUGAGACACGGUCAAGACGCCUACGGGCGGCAGCAUUGGGGAAGAUUGCACAAUUGGCGCAGGCCUGAGGCAGCCAUGCCGCGUGGGUGAGGAAGGCCUUCGGGUUGUAAAGCACUUUCAGCGGGGAGGCGUUAACCGCAGAAGAAGCACCGGCUAACUCCGUGCCAGCAGCCGCGGUAACAC